GUAGGGGGCGAGCGUUAUCCGGAAUCAUUGGGCGUAAAGAGCGCGUAGGCGGUAAUUUAAGUCAGUUGUUAAAUCUUUCAACUCAACUGGAAAUCGCAAUUGAAACUGAAUUACUAGAGAUCAGGAGAGGGAAGCGGAACUCACGGUGUAGCGGUGAAAUGCGUAGAUAUCGUGAGGAACACCAGUUGCGAAGGCGGCUUCCUGGACUGAAUCUGACGCUGAGGCGCGAAAGCGUGGGGAGCGAACGGGGGAUUAGAUACCCCGGUAGUCCACGCCGUAAACUGUGUUCACUAGGUGUAGGAGGUAUCGACCCCCUUCUGUGCCCACAGAAAACUCGUUAAGUGAACCGCCUGGGAAGUACGACCGCAAGGUUA
rnacentral:rRNA from 1 species